ACGGGCGGAGCUAAAGGGGAAGGAAAGGUGGUGACGCUCUGAGGAGGAGGCGGGGGUUGAUGCGGGGGAGCGGUUCCUAUUGGCUGCCUCGCAUCCCAAUCCCAGGCAGGUGAGGGAGUGCAGCUAAAAGAGGAAGGAAUGGAGGUGACGUAUUUUAUGGGGCGGGGAUGAAUGGGGGCGGUGUUUGAUGGGGAAGCGGUUCCUAUUGGCUGCCUCCCUGCCCAAUCCAAGGCCGACUCCGUUUCCGCUGGAUUUCAUUCUUGCUCUCCUAUGAUUUGGGAGUAUUUUCACUUUUACUUAUUGGGUUAUUAUUAUUAUUAUUAUUAUUUAUUGUAUUUUAGUGUUUUGUUGGAAGCCGCCCAGAGUGGCUGGGGAAACCCAGCCAGAUGGCGGGGUAGAAAUAAUAAAUUAUUAUUAUUAUUAUUAUUAUUAUUAUUAUUAUUUCUCUGCACAUUUUUUUGCAUAGGGUUUAAAGGUUGCCGGCUGCCGAAAGGCGAAGCUGCCUUUGGAACCGCGGAAAAUUAAAUUUAUGAGAUUAUGAAAGUUAAAUAUAAACUCAACGGCAGGCAAGGAGUUAAAAGGUUCGCGUUGGUUCGCGUUUGAAGCCGAAUUUGUGAAAUUCGCACUUACAGGAACAAUAGGAAGACCAAAAAGCAGCCAUUCCAUAGACAAAGGAGAUGGUGUUGGACUUUCAGAGGAAGAGAGAACUAGCCCCACUGUACAUCGGGGAGGGCUGUGUGGAGAGAGUCUCUUCCUUUGAAUUCCUAGGAGUUCAUCUCAGUGAAGACCUUACUUGGAAGAUCAAUACGUGGUUAAGAAAGCCCAACAGAGACUCCAUUUCCUCAGAGUAUUGCAGAAGAAUGACGUCAAUCAACAUUUGAUUAUCUCUUUCUACUGGUCAACAAUAGAAAGUGUCCUUUCAUACUGCGUCACGGUGUGGUAUGCUGGUUUGACAUCAUCUGAUAGGAAGUGCCUACAGAGGGUGGUGUACAAGAUAUUAUGGGCUGUCCCGUGAAUCCGCUGGAUGAAACAGCGGAAGAAGGUUGCCUCAGGAGAGUGAGGAAAAUUCUCAGGGAUGAUUCACACCCUGGCCGGCACUUUCUUGAUCUCCUGCUCUCAGGCAGAAGAUAUAGAAGCAUGAUUAGUCACACCAACAGGGCAAAGAACAGCUUCUAUCCGUGGGCUGUUAGGCUGCUGAAUGAAAAGAUAACAACAGGGCAACUGACUUUUGGGUUUGGUGGGUGUGCGUCAGUAAACGAGGGGAAUUAAAACUAGGAGAGCUGAGUGAGGCGUGCUCAUGUAAUCUCGCUUUAUACAAGUUGUACAAAUGACAAUAAAGUAUUUCAAUUUCAAUUCUCUGACAUCUGCAGUCAUCUGGAUUUUACCAUGUAGUUUCCCAACCAACGCUGUCAGCAAUAUGCUAAUGACACACACCUCUGCUUCUCCUUUACAGGAGUAAAUGCUCCGUUUUCUGUUUCCCUGCC